GAAACGGUGCAAACCUUCUUGCACUCCAUAAAUGAUUCAUUUCCUUCAAAAGUCCUAUGCUGUUUUCCAGCAGAAUCUCCAUUAUGUAUGAAUCAGGAUCCUGGCUGACAUUUUCGGCCUCGGCUGUUGCGAGCUUUCCCGUCAGAAGUACCCUUCCCACGGGGCCUAAAGCAGUCAACUCAGAUUCAGAUGGCACAUCCUGGCUCACUUUCUCUGCUCUGUGGUUCCAGUAUCCACCCUGCUGUUCACCACCCAGAUUAGUUUGAAACUGGGCAGUGAUCUGUGCUGUGCUGAUGCCAAGUGUUUUCACACAUGUGUGGUUUGGGGGUGAGCUCAGGGCUUCUUAUGUGGAUUUAAAGGAUCCCUUCUCCAGCUCCCGCCUCUCCAUGAUCUUCCCUAUACUCUCUGCUUCCCCAUGUUCCCCUUUCCAGGUGUUCUGAUUAGAAGGCUGGGGCUCUAGCCUGUCACCCUGCACUGUCGCCAGAGUUCCGCCGUGAGGGUCCACUGCUGCUGUGCUGGUGAAUGGGGAUGGGGCUUCACCUAUUUGGUGAUGCUCGGCUAAUGUGCAGUGGAAAGAGUCCAUGGGUCUCCACCCCAGGGGGGCUGCUGCUGUGUCUCUGGGGAGAGGAAUGGACACGUUGUUUCUGCUUGGGCAAGGUAGAUAAAGGCAAAAGAGUUCAAUCCACAGGAUUCCUCCUUCCUGGGUCUUUCGCUAAAGAGAGCAAGCUUUUCUGUUUGAUCCUGUUUUUCCUUCUUGUCUGUGCCUAUUGGUGGUUUCAGACUACUCCAGUGCCCAGGCUAGGAGACAAAAUUCCAAAAACUGAAAAUCCAGACAAGUCAUUGCCAAGGUGUCUUUAAAGUCCUCCCUACUCAGUCCUGCUGCCCUUAUCUACAUUUUCGAGUCCCAUGAUAGCUGUUUCAUGAGUUUUAUGCAGGAUUUGUACCUGUGAAUAGUGGGCAAGGGUGUAGUGUGCCUUUUCCGUCUUGCCUGGAAUUGGAAGUUCAAGCUUCUGCCUAUUAAGUGGCCUUGUCUAUGUGUGUGGCAGUGUUCCCUGGGAUAGACCACCACUGCCCUUAGACAGCAUUCUGAGAGUGGUGGCCUCAGCCCACCCUGGUAACUUUGCUGUGGCCCCUCCCAAGACCCCCCACCCCAGCAGCACUAAGCUCAUGCACUCACUGUGGAUGCAGGCCUGCCUGCUGGGCCUUCCUGGUGGUUUUUUUUUUUCUUUGAGAUGGGGUCUCGCUCUGUCACCAGGCUGGAGUGCAGUGGCACAAUCUCGGCUCACUGCAACCUCCACCUUCCGGUUCAAGCUAUUCUCCUGCCUCAGCCUCCCAAGUAGCUGGGAUUACAGGCGCAUGCCACCACACCUGGCUAAUUUUUGUAUUUUAGUGGAGAUGGAGUUUCAUCAUGUUGGCCAGGAUGGUCUCAAUCUCUUGACCUCAUGAUUCACCCACCUUGGCCUCCCAAAGUGCUGGGAUUAGAGGCAUGUGCAACUCACCUGGCCCUGGUGGUUUUUUCCCCAGGCAAAGCACCUGUCUCUGCCUCCUGCUGGUUUGUUCAACAGUGUCCCAGGGUUUGCUCCUUGCUUGCUUUGCUUCAGGCCCUUCUAUCAACUUCCAUUGUCUUUGACUCAAUGGUCUUUGCAGGAUAGGCACAGCCAUCUGCAUGUUCACUAAAGGGCCUGCCUACAUUUCCAGGGAGAGAAAGGCUUCAGGCCAUUGGUGCAUAAAGAUCUUCAGAAAUGUCCGGAAUAUCCCAAAAAUUGCCUCCCUCCUGCCUGUCCUGCAUGCCAGGCCUUCCUUUCCACCAGCCUGCCUCCCAGCCGCACAUCCAGCUGUCAUUUCCUAGAACUCCCAUCCCAGGCAGUUGUUUUGGACACAUAGCUUUCCUUUGGGAAUGUGUCCCUGUGGCCGCAGGUGGAGUAGAGAGUACAGCAUCCUGGACUAUCUGAUUGGCUGGAGUCACCCUCAAUGCGCAGCAGGCCAGUUAUGGUUCCUUUCUGUGUCUUUUUUCCCCCUCCGUCAAAUGAGAGUUAUUGCAGAAACCUUUUAGUGCUGUGUUGGGAUUAGCAGUGAUAGUUUGGCAUGUGGUAGAUGCUCAGGAAAUGGAAGCUGCCCUUUUUUCUUAGUGGAAAAGGAGGGAUUUUGUUUUUGGGACAAUUCCCCUCCUCUGCUGCUGCAUAGCGACCCCGGGGACCUUUCUGAAAUUGGACGAGGGCACAGUGGUUGCCCGUAAUCCCAGUGCUUUAAGAAGCCAAGGUGGGAAGAUCACUCGAGGCCAGGAGUUUGAGACCAGCCUGGGCAACCUAGUGAGACCCUGCCUGUACAAAAAAUAAAUUGGCUGGACGUGCUGGUACACACAUGUAGUCCCAGCUAUUCAGGAGGCUGAGGCGGGAAGAUCGCUUGAGCUCAGGAGUCUGAAGCUGCAGUGAGCUAUGUUCAUGCCACUACACUCCAGCCUAGCCAACAGAGCAAGACCCAUCUCUAAAAAUAAAAUAAAA